rnacentral:rRNA from 1 species
CCUACGGGCGGCUGCAGUGGGGAAUUUUGGACAAUGGGGCAACCCUGAUCCAGCCAUGCCGCGUGAGUGAAGAAGGCCUUCGGGUUGUAAAGCUCUUUCGGCCGGGAAGAAAUCGCUCAAGCUAAUACCUUGGGUGGAUGACGGUACCGGAAGAAGAAGCACCGGCUAACUACGUGCCAGCAGCCGCGGUAAUACGUAGGGUGCGAGAGUUAAUCGGAAUUACUGGGCGUAGGGGGUAUAAAGGAGACGUGAAAUCCCCGGGCUUAACCUGGGAACUGCGUUUGUGACUGUGGUGCUCGAGUGCGGCAGAGGGGGGUGGAAUUCCACGUGUAGCAGUGAAAUGCGUAGAGAUGUGGAGGAACACCGAUGGCGAAGGCAGCCCCCUGGGUCGACACUGACGCUCAUGCACGAAAGCGUGGGGAGCAAACAGGAUUAGAUACCCUAGUAGUC